CAAGUCGAACGGCAGCAUAGAAGAGCUUGCUCUUCUGAUGGCGAGUGGCGAACGGGUGAGUAAAGCAUCGGAACGUACCGUGUAGUGGGGGAUAACGUAGCGAAAGUUACGCUAAUACCGCAUACGCACUGAGGUGGAAAGCAGGGGAUCGCAAGACCUUGCGCUAUACGAGCGGCCGAUGUCAGAUUAGCUAGUUGGUAGGGUAAAGGCCUACCAAGGCGACGAUCUGUAGCGGGUCUGAGAGGAUGAUCCGCCACACUGGGACUGAGACACGGCCCAGACUCCUACGGGAGGCAGCGGUGGGGAAUUUUGGACAAUGGGCGAAAGCCUGAUCCAGCCAUGCCGCGUGAGUGAAGAAGGCCUUCGGGUUGUAAAGCUCUUUCGGCUGGGAAGAAAUCGCACAGGCUAAUACUCUGUGUGGAUGACGGUACCAGCACAAGAAGCACCGGCUAACUACGUGCCAGCAGCCGCGGUAAUACGUAGGGUGCGAGCGUUAAUCGGAAUUACUGGGCGUAAAGCGUGCGCAGGCGGUUGUGCAAGACAGAUGUGAAAUCCCCGGGCUCAACCUGGGAACUGCAUUUGUGACUGCACGACUAGAGUACGGCAGAGGGGGGUAGAAUUCCACGUGUAGCAGUGAAAUGCGUAGAGAUGUGGAGGAAUACCGAUGGCGAAGGCAGCCCCCUGGGCCGAUACUGACGCUCAUGCACGAAAGCGUGGGGGAGCAAACAGGAUUAGAUACCCUGCUAGUCCACGCCCUAAACGAUGUCAACUAGUUGUUGGUAGGGUUAAACCUAUUAGUAACGUAGCUAACGCGUGAAGUUGACCGCCUGGGGAGUACGGUCGCAAGAUUAAAACUCAAGGAAUUGACGG
rnacentral:rRNA from 1 species